AUGCACACACUUGUGUUACAUGCACAUAUUCCCACAUUCACAAAUACACUUCUAUUAAGCAUUUCGUUAGUUUGCCUACGAACCCUCAGUGAGGGUUUCAGGGCUGCAGGGAGGUGUCAUUUGACACAGUGCAUAGUUCCCACUGUCUUGCAGUUCCUUCUCCCCACUUUCACCAUCUUUCCCCACCUCUUCACUCCAUUUCUCCAGCAGUGCCCCACCCCAGCAUCAAAUCCUUGUCUCUCUUUUGCAGAAGCUUUCUGCCAUGCACCCUGGAGCCAGGGGCAGCCCAUACCUCUGUCUGUGGAUCUCCACCCCCCAGAUUUCAACUCAGAAGUCAACUUCUGAAGGAGACCCUCACUGACUACCUGGCAUGAAGUCCCCCACUUGCUCACUUUCUAUCACCUUUCCGGCUUGACUUCCUUCACUGCACUCACUGCUGUCUACCAGCAGGUAAGCAAGCCCAUGGGUCUGGAGCUCCUCUGGUCCCUGGCUCUGUCCUGAUGCCCAGAAGGUGCCUGGCAUCGAGGAGACACUCAGUGGCCAAGUAUGAAGGCCAAGAACCACUGUCUCCCCUACUCUCUUCUCCUGGCUGGGGAGUCAGGGACCUGAGGCAAGGACCCUCCCCCAGGGUCUCACUCUCAUCAGCAGUGACCUGGGUACCUGGCCUCAACCAUCCCUAUAGCCUCUCCCUGUGUUUCCUAGUCUCCUAAGUUCAUUAACCCCACUAACAAAACAAAAAUCUCUAAACAGAAGUAUAAGUGUAACCUGGGAAAUUCUGAAGGCAUUUUAUACAUUUAAAGAGGUAACAUAGGUUUAAAAUUGAAAUUUUACUCUGCUCUAUUUCCUAGAUGAGACUGAAAGCUCUUGACAGUCAUACGGCUUUAAAAUAUCUAACCUCAGUUUCUGAAGGGAUGAAGACUGUGUCUUCACCCUCCAUUCCUAAAGACUCCUGAUUUCCCUGUCCUGAGACAUUUUCCAUUUCUCUGUCCUGGACCUUUAUGAAGUCCACCCAGUGGGAGAUUGUGCAUGUGUUGGGUGUGUGGUGGGAGGAGUUAUGUCAUCACCACCAACAGGACUUCCCUGGUGGCCCAAUGGUUAAGACUGCACACUCCCAGUGCAGUGGGCAUGGGUUCAGUCCCUAGAUGGGGAAGAGCCUGACUGCCACAUGGUACAACCGAAACACAAUAAAACAACAGCAACAAAUAAACCA
rnacentral:lncRNA from 1 species